ensembl:lncRNA novel transcript
GUAACUUCUUAGACAAAGUCUAUAAACAGUCUCAGGACAAUAACAACUCCAUUCUAGAAAGAAUAUCCCAACUUUUCUUCAAUCUCAACCCCAACUGCAUCUGCCUGUCAACUUCCAGCUUACCAAAGCUCUGUAUCUUCUGACAGUGACAAAGGCUCCUUCUAUGGUAUGUAUUCAUUUCGUACCACCGUAGUGGAAGAGAGACUAUCCCUAUCAAUACACCUGGUAACAUUCCCAACAGUAAGUCGUGAGAUUCUGCUUGAAAUCACCUCUCAGACAAAUAAAAAACAGUCCUGGGAAAUGUACGACACUCAUUCUGCUAAAGAAAUAGGGCAAGAAAGCUUUCUAAGACCCCGAACUCCAGAUAUGCGAUGGGGCAAAUCCUGAAGCGUACAUGGCUAUCUCU